rnacentral:rRNA from 1 species
AUACGGAGGGUGCGAGCGUUAAUCGGAAUUACUGGGCGUAAAGGGUCCGUAGGCGGUCUGCUUAGUCUGAUGUGAAAGCCCCGGGCUUAACCUGGGAAUGGCAUUGGAUACUGGCGGACUAGAGUCUGGUAGAGGGUGGUGGAAUUCCCGGCGUAGCGGUGAAAUGCGUAGAUAUCGGGAGGAACACCAGUGGCGAAGGCGGCCACCUGGACCAAGACUGACGCUGAGGGACGAAAGCGUGGGGAGCAAACAGGAUUAGAAACCCUAGUAGUCC